GAUGAACGCUAGCGACAGGCCUAACACAUGCAAGUCGAGGGGCAGCGGGGAGGUAGCAAUACCUUUGCCGGCGACCGGCGCACGGGUGAGUAACACGUAUGCAAUCCACCUGUAACAGGGGGAUAACCCGGAGAAAUCCGGACUAAUACCCCAUAAUAUGGGCGCUCCGCAUGGAGGGCUCAUUAAAGAAAGCAAUUUUGGUUACAGACGAGCAUGCGCUCCAUUAGCCAGUUGGCGGGGUAACGGCCCACCAAAGCGACGAUGGAUAGGGGUUCUGAGAGGAAGGUCCCCCACAUUGGAACUGAGACACGGUCCAAACUCCUACGGGAGGCAGCAGUGAGGAAUAUUGGUCAAUGGUCGGCAGACUGAACCAGCCAAGUCGCGUGAGGGAAGACGGCCCUACGGGUUGUAAACCUCUUUUGUCGGAGAGUAAAGUACGCUACGUGUAGCGUAUUGCAAGUAUCCGAAGAAAAAGCAUCGGCUAGCUCCGUGCCAG
rnacentral:rRNA from 1 species